rnacentral:rRNA from 1 species
CCUACGGGAGGCAGCAGUGGGGAAUAUUGGACAAUGGGGGAAACCCUGAUCCAGCGACGCCGCGUGAGUGAAGAAGUAUUUCGGUACGUAAAGCUCUAUCAGCAGGAAAGAAAAUGACGGUACCUGACUAAGCAGCCCCGGCUAACUACGUGCCAGCAGCCGCGGUAAUACGUAGGGGGCAAGCGUUAUCCGGAUUUACUGGGUGUAAAGGGAGCGUAGACGGCAGCGCAAGUCUGGAGUGAAAUGCCGGGGCUCAACCCCGGAACUGCUCGGGAAACUGUGAAGCUGGAGUGCAGGAGAGGUAAGCGGAAUUCCUGGUGUAGCGGUGAAAUGCGUAGAUAUCAGGAGGAACACCGGCGGCGAAGGCGGCUUACUGGACUGUAACUGACGUUGAGGCUCGAAGGCGUGGGGAGCAAACAGGAUUAGAUACCCCGGUAGUC